CCAGACUCCUACGGGAGGCAGCAGUGGGGAAUAUUGCACAAUGGGGGAAACCCUGAUGCAGCGACGCCGCGUGAGUGAUGAAGUAUUUCGGUAUGUAAGGCUCUAUCAGCAGGGAAGAAAGAAAUGACGGUACCUGACUAAGAAGCCCCGGCUAACUACGUGCCAGCAGCCGCGGUAAUACGUAGGGGGCAAGCGUUAUCCGGAUUUACUGGGUGUAAAGGGAGCGUAGACGGCAGUGCAAGUCUGAAGUGAAAGGCGGGGGCCCAACCCCCGGACUGCUUUGGAAACUGUGCUGCUGGAGCGCAGGAGAGGCAAGUGGAAUUCCUAGUGUAGCGGUGAAAUGCGUAGAUAUUAGGAGGAACACCAGUGGCGAAGGCGGCCUGCUGGACGAUGACUGACGUCGAGGCUCGAAAGCGUGGGGAGCAAACAGGAUUAGAUACCCGAGUA
rnacentral:rRNA from 1 species